AGAGUUUGAUCAUGGCUCAGGAUGAACGCUGGCGGCGUGCCUAACACAUGCAAGUCGAACGAAGCGCCUUUUGAGAUUCUUCGGAUGAUUGAUUGGUGACUGAGUGGCGGACGGGUGAGUAACGCGUGGGUAACCUGCCCUGUACAGGGGGAUAACAGCUGGAAACGGCUGCUAAUACCGCAUAAGCGCACGAGGAGACAUCUCCUAGUGUGAAAAACUCCGGUGGUACAGGAUGGGCCCGCGUCUGAUUAGCUGGUUGGCAGGGUAACGGCCUACCAAGGCAACGAUCAGUAGCCGGUCUGAGAGGAUGAACGGCCACAUUGGAACUGAGACACGGUCCAAACUCCUACGGGAGGCAGCAGUGGGGAAUAUUGCACAAUGGGGGAAACCCUGAUGCAGCAACGCCGCGUGAGUGAAGAAGUAUUUCGGUAUGUAAAGCUCUAUCAGCAGGGAAGAUAAUGACGGUACCUGACUAAGAAGCUCCGGCUAAAUACGUGCCAGCAGCCGCGGUAAUUC
rnacentral:rRNA from 1 species